rnacentral:rRNA from 1 species
UCAAGAACCUUCCGCAAUGGACGAAAGUCUGACGGAGCGACGCCGCGUGAUGGAUGAAGUCCUUUGGGACGUAAACAUCUUUUAUGAGGGAAGAAGUAUAUUGACGGUACCUCAUGAAUAAGGACCUCCCAAUCUCGUGCCAGCAGGAGCGGUAAUACGAGAGGUCCGAGCGUUAUCCGGAAUUAUUGGGCGUAAAGGGUGUGUAGGUGGUUUUGUUAGUCUUUUGUGAAAGCCUCGGGCUCAACCUGAGAAACAUGAAAGAUACGGCAAGACUAGAGUGUGCGAGAGGUGUAUGGAACUCAUGGUGUAGGGGUGAAAUCCGUUGAUAUCAUGGGGAACACCAAAGGCGAAGGCAAUACACUGGCGCAAUACUGACACUCAAACACGAAAGCGUGGGUAG